rnacentral:rRNA from 1 species
UACGGAGGGUGCGAGCGUUGUCCGGAAUCACUGGGCGUAAAGCGCGCGCAGGCGGUCCUUCAAGUCAGAGGUGAAAGCCCAGAGCUCAACUCUGGAAUGGCCUUUGAGACUAGAGGACUUGGGUACGGGAGAGGUGAGUGGAAUUCCGAGUGUAGAGGUGAAAUUCGUAGAUAUUCGGAAGAACACCAGUGGCGAAGGCGGCUCACUGGCCCGUUACCGACGCUCAGGCGCGACAGCGUGGGGAGCAAACAGG